UGAAGACUUAAAGACAUACAAAGAAUCAAUAAAUUAUUCUGGAAAAUCUCCUAUUAUGACCAAAGCCAUAGCUGGCUACAACUGGAAAACCAGUGAUAUUGAUGAAAAUUUUAAUAUUUCAUAUGCUGCACUGCAGGAAGAAGGUCCUACAGAGAAACAGAAAGGCUAUAUAUAUACAUACCAAGCCACCAGUUUAUUCUGAUCCAACACCACCAAGAAAGAAAUGCUUAUUUGGCAAAAAUCUUACAAGCAUUUAUGUCGACAGAAAGCUGCCUGCUCCAAAACUUGACUUCAUUGCAAACAUUGAAGGAAGUUUACUUACUUCUGACUUAUAUGAGAAUUGACUUCGCAUCCCAGAUGAAGG
rnacentral:lncRNA from 1 species